UUUUAAGUCCAUGACACGUGUCAAUACAUUAUUGGACAUAAAUUUUCGAGGUGUUACAUGUGGCAACAUAUGGUGGAGGUGUUUUGUGAGUUUGAGAGGGAAUCCAUUUCUAAAUACACACAAUGUUCAAUCCACGCGGGAUCCAUUUGUUAUUUUGGUCGGACCUAUGAAUUUGGAUCUACUAUAAAUUCAUUUUUUUAUUCAGCUUUACACCCUUCAUAUCAUAAACACAAUUAGGGUUUCUUUUUGAAUCUCUAUGCGCUCCUCCAUCAAUGUGUGAACCCGAUUGUAGAACAUACUCCUUCUCCAUGAUACAUCGGAAACAUUAAUUCUUCAAGCUUAGCCUGUUCGUGUGUAAAGAUCAAGGAAGAUGGUGACGGUGGUGCUGGUGGCCUGAAGAGAAACGAUAACGGCGUUAGGGUUCUUUCAGGGGUGGCACAAAAUAUGAUUGUUCGGAAUCCCAACAUAAAGGGGUUGAAGAUGGAUUUUGACAAUCAUACGGUAAUCAAAAAAUCAUGAGUCGGGGGGUGGGACUGCACCUAGAAAAGCGGUGUUGACUUCUAUCACACAGGUGUUAACUGCUAUUUCACAUAUGAAGAAGGCAAAGCCCAGGCAACCUUACAAGAAUAAGAAUUAAUUGCCUCUUUAUUUGCGUCAUGUGAAAACCAGAUCCAUUCGUAGGUGUUUGGCCAAACAUUAGGUAUCUUUAAAGUCUUUUUUGUGUAUGAUCUUGAAUAAGAAUUUCAUUAUGACGAACAUGAAUCUCCACUCCUGGUGUAGUCUUAAAAAUCCCCUUUAUUGCUACAAAAGAAUGUUUUUUGAUAUCUUUGUUUAUUAUUAAAUUGUGUUGAUCAAGUAAUAAAGUAGGAUACAAGUGAAUAAAUGAUUUAUGAUAAUUAUGAUAAUUAAGUUAACUGGUGUAUCCCCAAAUUGCUUGUGAAUUGUGAGUCUGUUUCGUUACCAGAUUUGUUCAAGUUAUGUGUUUAUUACUUCUGGAUUAUCACUUCGAUUAGAUUUAAAUCUUCAAGAUUGUGUUGUGGAACUGUAUGGACUUUUGGUUUUCUGGAGUACAUUUUAUUUUGUUCCUAAUUCGGUUUUUAGAACUGUAGGUGAAAGACUAUUGCAGGCAUCAGGGUUUCAGGAAGGGCCCUUUAUCCGGUUAGGGUUCUGGGAACUCCGUAUGAAACUAUUGAAUAUGCUAAUUUGGUUCGAGUUCCCCAAACUCCCAAAGGUUCAUGUUUCUAUUUAAGGAGCAGAAACUCACGGUACCACAUUGUCGUACUCCACGACCUUUACCUCAUGGCUCAGAAGGUGGACCUGGUGGACGAAAAUGUACUCUGGUGGAUGAUGGGUCUGGAAAAUGUACUCUUUUCAUCACUGGUUAUCUUCGGGCAGUUUUAAUAACUGGUUCGGUGCCAACCCUACGUUAAUCUGUGAAUCAGCUGGUGUUUGGGAAUUUCAGCUGGCAAAGAUUCAGCUUCUUGAGGAUCCAUAUUCAUUAAAUGCUAAAAAAGAAGGGGAUUUCAGGGAUGCUGAUGAAGUAAAUGAUAUACAGGUAUGUAUUCUUUUCUUUAAAAUGGAUGCUUAAUAAAUCUUCCUCUGUGCUUUUUAUUCUCUUCGUGUAUACAGACUCUUU